rnacentral:rRNA from 1 species
GACGAACGCUGGCGGCGUGCUUAACACAUGCAAGUCGAACGAAGAGCGAUGGAAGCUUGCUUCUAUCAAUCUUAGUGGCGAACGGGUGAGUAACGCGUAAUCAACCUGCCCUUCAGAGGGGGACAACAGUUGGAAACGACUGCUAAUACCGCAUACGAUCUGACCUCGGCAUCGAGGAUAGAUGAAAGGUGGCCUCUACAUGUAAGCUAUCACUGAAGGAGGGGAUUGCGUCUGAUUAGCUAGUUGGAGGGGUAACGGCCCACCAAGGCGAUGAUCAGUAGCCGGUCUGAGAGGAUGAACGGCCACAUUGGGACUGAGACACGGCCCAGACUCCUACGGGAGGCAGCAGUGGGGAAUCUUCCGCAAUGGACGAAAGUCUGACGGAGCAACGCCGCGUGAGUGAUGACGGCCUUCGGGUUGUAAAGCUCUGUUAAUCGGGACGAAAGGCCUUUUUGCGAAUGGUGAGAAGGAUUGACGGUACCGGAAUAGAAAGCCACGGCUA